rnacentral:tRNA from 1 species
GGAGACGUAUCGAAGAGGCCAUAACGAGAACGACUCGAAAUCGUUUUGGGGUAACACCCACGUGGGUUCGAAUCCCACCGUCUCCG